UCAUAUCUCAUUUUGUUUCCUUUCACUUCCAAAAAUAUGAGAAAAAAAGAGAAGCUAAGUUAAGUACGUUUCACCUUAAGCUUAAUUCAUAAAAGAUUCAAAGUGUAUUUGGAUGCUAUAAGAACCAUUAGAAAGUAAUACAAACUUGGAUUUGAGCUUUAUCUUUUCAAGACGGACGACGAAGCUUGCAGAGUUUUGUUAAGUUCUUAGAUAUGCUAUUUUUGUUUGUACACAUAUGUUAUAGAUUUUUCCUCGCCUUUAUUAUUAUAUUCUUGUAAGAGGGAUAGGAGU